UUGACCUCGGAUCAGGUAGGGAUACCCGCUGAACUUAAGCAUAUCAAUAAGCGGAGGAAAAGAAACCAACAGGGAUUGCCCCAGUAACGGCGAGUGAAGCGGCAAGAGCUCAAAUUUGAAAGCUGGCUCCUUCGGGGUCCGCAUUGUAAUUUGUAGAGGAUGCUUCGGGAGCGGUCCCCAUCUAAGUGCCCUGGAACGGGACGUCAUAGAGGGUGAGAAUCCCGUAUGGGAUGGGGUGUCCGCGCCCGUGUGAAGCUCCUUCGACGAGUCGAGUUGUUUGGGAAUGCAGCUCUAAAUGGGUGGUAAAUUUCAUCUAAAGCUAAAUAUUGGCCGGAGACCGAUAGCGCACAAGUAGAGUGAUCGAAAGAUGAAAAGCACUUUGAAAAGAGAGUUAAAAAGCACGUGAAAUUGUUGAAAGGGAAGCGCUUGCGACCAGACUCGCUCGCGGGGUUCAGCCGGCAUUCGUGCCGGUGUACUUCCCCGCGGGCGGGCCAGCGUCGGUUUGGGCGGUCGGUCAAAGGCCCUCGGAAGGUAACGCCCCUAGGGGCGUCUUAUAGCCGAGGGUGC
rnacentral:rRNA from 1 species